rnacentral:rRNA from 1 species
GGAGAGGGAGCCUGAAAAAUAGCUACCACAUCUAAGGAAGGCAGCAGGCGCGUAAAUUACCCAAUUCUAAAGAAGAGAGGUAGUGACAAGAAAUAACAAUACAAGGCCAAUCUGGCUUUGUAAUUGGAAUGAUGGGAAUUUAAAACCUUCCCAAAACUCAAUUGGAGGGCAAGUCUGGUGCCAGCAGCCGCGGUAAUUCCAGCUCCAAUAGCGUAUAUUAAAAUUGUUGCAGUUAAAACGCUCGUAGUUGAAUUUCAAAGAAUCGAUAUUUUAAGCAACGCUUCUAGCUUAAUCCACAUAACUGAUACUUCGUAUCGACUUUGUGCGCAUUUUGCUAUUAUGUGUUCUUUUAAUUAAAAUGAUUCUUUUUAAGGACUUUCUUUGCUUCGGCUUG